CUUUGAGUUAUUGCUGUUUUAAAUGUGAAAAUUGGACCAAAAUGUCGUAAUAAGGACUGGGUACUAGGUCAAAAACGCGUAUAACUCGAAUACAAUUUGAGAUAUAAAAAAACUGUUUAAAUGUCUUAUAUGUAUAUUUUUGUAAGCUUUUUGAUGAUGCAAGUCAUUUUUGUUGUAAUUGAAUACAAAACUUCACAUUUUCUUGCUGUAAUACAAUUUAAUAGAGGAUAAUCACUGAUCACCCAAUUUUCUCGGUAUUGGGCAAGUUUUUUGCUUGGGAACUU